GCCUCCUUAGCUCAGGGGUAGAGCGCAUCACUUGUAAUGAUGAGGUCGCUAGUUCGAAUCUGGUAGGAGGCA